AGAGUUUGAUCCUGGCUCAGAUUGAACGCUGGCGGCGUGCUUAACACAUGCAAGUCGAACGGAAAGGCCCCUUCGGGGGUACUCGAGUGGCGAACGGGUGAGUAACACGUGGGCAAUCUGCCCUGCACUUCGGGAUAAGCCUGGGAAACUGGGUCUAAUACCGGAUAGGACCACGAGACGCAUGUUUUGUGGUGGAAAGC
rnacentral:rRNA from 1 species